UACGUAGGGUGCGAGCGUUAAUCGGAAUUACUGGGCGUAAAGCGUGCGCAGGCGGUCGUUCAAGUCGCGUGUGAAAGCCCCCGGCUCAACUGGGGAGGGUCACGCGAUACUGAUCGACUCGAAGGCAGGAGAGGGUAGUGGAAUUCCCGGUGUAGUGGUGAAAUGCGUAGAUAUCGGGAGGAACACCAGUGGCGAAGGCGACUACCUGGCCUGUUUCUUGACGCUGAGGCGCGAAAGCUAGGGGAGCAAACGGG
rnacentral:rRNA from 1 species